GCCACUGCCGGACACACCAAUCAGGACCAGGAAAAACUACCGAACCCAUUUUCAUGUAACUUGAAAGAUGGGUGUAGCAUGGGCCAAUGAAGAACCCAUAAAAUGUUGAAGCAUGUCCGAACGAAUUUGAAUCAACUUGAGCACUAUCAGAGCUUCAAUAAACACAUAAAUGGUGACGUCCAGCCUGGCUUAUCACACUGUGAAGCUCAGUGUUCUGUGGGGGCCCUCGUCCAUCGAACAGUGUUCCAGCUCUGGGUGCUAUCUCAGUCAAAGGCCUGUCCACUCCUCCCUGCACACAGCAGGCCUGUUCCAGCCGUUACAGUGUGGGGAGGCCAUGAUAAGGUUAUCAGACGGUUACUCUGAAAGAGCCUGCUGCCUUCAGAUUUCCCCCUUCUGACACUCACUCUGACUUCUCACUCAGCGUUUCCCCUCUCCUGUCAUCCCUUCUCUCAGCUUCCGGACAUCCAACGUUUCUGACUUGGGUUUGCAGCUGGCUGUAUGUUAGUCUGAAAGACUUUCUGUAUGCAUGACAAUAUUUGAGUAUGUGGAGUAUGCAUUAAGACACACCUAUAGGGCCUUGUCAUCUUCUGUAUGCAAAAUCCAAGAUUAUUAUAGUUAAUUGCUUGCGCUGCACUUUUGUAAGUCAUCCGUAGUUUUCAUGUUUUAUAUAUGAGCACACCUUUCAUACCAUGCUGUUUUUUAGAUGCUACUCUUAAAUUGCCAAUGUCUAAUUUUGAUCCAUUUCACUGGUUAAAAAAUAUUCUACACCAUGAUAAUUAAAGAGGCCUGGAAAUGAAAAGAUCAACAUGUUAACUAGCUUAAAUAUUAUUUGUCCCCUUUUAUCCUGUCAUGAACCUUCAGAUUUAACCAUUGUAGUGGACGUUAUCCCUAGGUUUGGAAACACUGCAUGGUAUGAUGCUUCGUUUAAACCUUCCCCAUGAAAUGUGUUGCUAAAAUCAAAGAUUUUCUUUUCAGAUUAAUAUUCAUUACAAAUCAGUAUCUAGUAGUCAAAUUUGUAUGGCAUGGUUUGCCGUUAUGAAACACUUCUGGCAGUGGCAGGGAAACAUAGGGCAGAGUUAGGUGUAUGGUUCCUGUACACAUGGCUUCCAUCCAAGCCAGUAUCAGCACUCACCACCGCUGACAUAUUUUAAAGGCGUGACGAUUGAUUUAUCUUUUGCAGGAAAUACAAAUGCAUUUUGUGAGGCAUAUAUUUAAAUGGAGUUUUAAUAAAGAGUCCACAAAGAGUCUGAAGUUCAUUAAACAUCAACAUUUACAAACUGAGCUAAUUUUUAAACGGUUUCCGAGACCUGUAACCACAUCAAGGGAUGUUCAUGAGCAUUUUCUAAAUUGGCAUGUUCUUUUUUUCUAUUUCCUGUAUUUUGAAGUGUUUGGUCUCUUCUGCUAUUGAUAACAGGCUUAAAGUCAACAUUUUGAAUUGCCUACUUGUGAAAUAGAUAAUUAAAUCCCAGGAACCACAGAAAACUUUUUUCCCCGUCACUCUUACGUCUCUUUGUAGGAGUGGCCUUCGGUGCGUCAUCACUGCACUUAUCAAUGGGAGGCCAGGACGUUCAGCCUGGACCACAACACAGUGCCACUGGCAAUCAAAUAGUAUCUCACCCACACACACACAGGAUGUGAUCAUACUGCAUCUUCCUGUGUUCAGUCACACGGAGGAAAUCUGCUGACAGUUUCUUUUUCUAUUUGGAUUCUGUCAGCGUGAUGGAUCACUGGCAUGUCAUUCAACACUGAGUUUAAAAAGACAAGGAAUAGCUUACUGUAGUUGUGUAUAAGGACUUAAGGGCCAACUUUUCCUUGAUACUUGUAGAUCUUAUUAAUAAACUGUGUAUUUUAUGGUUCAAACACAAAAUAUCUAAUAUGUUUUCUAUGGGUUAACAUAUGCUCCAAGUCCUUACACUCUUUACUCAAUAUUUUGAUGUGUAAUAUUUUGGAAAUAACUUUCAAAUGUGUGAUUUUGUUUACUUAAUACUAUUGUUUUUUGGUUGUGUGUGUAUCUGUCCGUUCGUCCAGAGCUAAUCUCGUAUACUUCUGGAUCUAUCAGUCUAAUAUGUCGGUGUACAUGUAUGACUUUAUGCUCUCAUGGGUGUGGUCAUUCACACUUUUUGAAAAACCUAUGUCAUCGGCUGUUUCAUACCAGAAUUGACUGCUUACCCCUCGCUCCUCUUAACCGUUAGGUUAGGGCAGCAAGUCCUCCCCAUUACUUCAGGAGCAAAAAGUAUUAGUGGCAAUUGGUCGGCUAAAAACAUGCCUAACCUACCAGUUUGGCCUUUUUCGUGGCUCGAAACUGUCAUCCAUAGAUAAUUGUAGUUUUGUUUUGAACCAGUGAAACUGCCAAUUAAUUCCAUCCAGAUAUGUUAUGAUGAAAAUCCCGGUUUUUGUAAUAUUGCCGCCAUUUUGACGGUACGGGAGCCAUUUGUGUGAGAUACAACUCU